rnacentral:rRNA from 1 species
UUGAACGCUGGCGGCAUGCCUUACACAUGCAAGUCGAACGGCAGCACGGGGGCAACCCUGGUGGCGAGUGGCGAACGGGUGAGUAAUAUAUCGGAACGUACCCUAGAGUGGGGGAUAACGUAGCGAAAGUUACGCUAAUACCGCAUACGAUCUACGGAUGAAAGUGGGGGCUCGCAAGACCUCAUGCUCAUGGAGCGGCCGAUAUCUGAUUAGCUAGUUGGUGAGGUAAAGGCUCACCAAGGCGACGAUCAGUAGCUGGUCUGAGAGGACGACCAGCCACACUGGGACUGAGACACGGCCCAGACUCCUACGGGAGGCAGCAGUGGGGAAUUUUGGACAAUGGGGGCAACCCUGAUCCAGCAAUGCCGCGUGAGUGAAGAAGGCCUUCGGGUUGUAAAGCUCUUUUGUCAGGGAAGAAACGGUGAAGGCUAAUAUCCUUUGCUAAUGACGGUACCUGAAGAAUAAGCACCGGCUAACUACGU